ACAUAUGUGAAUACGGGGUUAUUUUAGGUGCAAGUGGCGGGUUAAUAUAAGAAUAUACAUGAAAACACUAGCUAAAUAGCACUAAAAGUGUGUCAAUAAUGGGCAUCAACAAACCCCGACCAUGAUGAUCGACAGGCAUAGAACUAUAGCAAGCCCAAAGGCACAAUGAACCGAUGCGGUAACGUAGAAUUAGUCUAUUCAUAUGAAUUGUAUAACUUAAAAGAGCACAAGACAUGCAUGACAUACUACCAAAAUAGCAUAACAACCAUACUCUAUAUUAUAAAUAGGAUGCUAACAAGUCGAGUACAAAGCCAUACCCAAGGCCGAAGGUGUUUCUCGUAAAGUGUUCUGUGGUGUGUUUCUCUGGUGUUCGCGCAUGUUUCUCUCCUAAAGUAGACUUGUGUAAUUGAAAAUACUUAUUUGCCAAUACAUGUGGAACUAGGUUAUUAUAAUUAAAUAUGUGAGUAAUAAAUGUUAGUUUUCCUUUAUUCGUUGAGUGUAUUGACGGCCGGAUUUGUCACUUAAGGACCGUCAACAACCACUGAACGAGUUUUUUUUCCAUUUUUGCAUGGUCGUGUAUCCCGGUUGUACAUGUUCGAACUUCUCUUCUUUUUAAUGAAAAAUGUGCUAUGCAUGUCUUAAAAAGAUAUAAAUGUAUCACCCCAUCACGGUGUUCAUCCACCCUACUUAUUUACUAUUGGUUUCUUUCUUUUCUCACGUUGUCUCUAUUUCCCUACACCACACCAUUUCAUUAUAUUGCUACUCCCCCC
rnacentral:lncRNA from 1 species